rnacentral:tRNA from 1 species
UCUCUCGUAGCCUAAUGGUCAGAGCAGUGGUGCGUAAAGCCAAAGGUCCCGGGUUCGAUUCCCGGCGGGGGUG